UCUCAAACUUUCCUCUCUUCCGCCGCCAAACUAUUUCUCUCAAUAUAUGAAUACGCAGGAUUUUGUAAAUCCUAUUUCCACAUAUUUCUUUCUCAAUCAUCCCUGCAUCUCAUGGAAGAGGAGAUGUCAGAGGAAGUAGAAGUAGAUCAAUUUAUUUUCUCAACGAUACAUUUUAGUGGAUUGACGGCUGGAUUAUCUUCUCAAUUUGUAAUCCUUGUUCACUUAUCGGGAUUGGCGGCAUUGGAAAUGUUAUGUUUAUCAAAUGAGAUGACAGACGUCGGAAAAAAAACUCUUGCCAUAAGGUAAAAAUUUUCACUAAAUCUCAAGACUGAAAGACUGAUGAAGUAUGAAUAUAUUAUUGAUCAAUGUGUUCUAUACAUGAAUGAAAUUGGAUUGUUGCUAGAGUGCUUUCCAAAGAUUAUCUUCGUAAGCAUGAAGAUUGCUAGCUCUGAUUUUAGUUUUAAUGUUGCAAUCAUCAUUGAAAUAUAAAAUGUUUCCUACUAUAAUUUUUGUUGAUCAUUCAUCUUUAUGAGUUAAAGUUAUGAAUAUAUUAUCUCUCAACUUAGCUAUAAUGUUACUACCACUGGUAGCUUAAUUAGCAAUAGUACAUGUUAAUUUCGUGCCCCCUUUACUGAACUUGCUCAUUCUACUUUUACUGACCAAACAAAAUUAAUAUAUGCCAUAACUGAAAUUAAUGUGGUAUGCAAAAUAUACGUAGGGGUGUUCGGUUUCCAAGAUUAUAUCCCCGGAUUAAUUAUGUAGUGUGUUUGGUAAUGAGAUUCAAUCCCACAACUCAAUCUUAGAUGGAUAAUCAUGGGAUAAUUAGUCAUAUAUAACCUACUAUGACUAAAAUAAUCUCACAACUCAAUCCUAGAUUAUAUCUUGGUAUUUUUUUUUAUCUAGGAAACCUAAAACCACCGUAGUAGACUUCAUUUAUAUAUUGAUGUACUUUUGAUAUAUUCUAAUACCAAAUUGAUAGGAAAAAAUUCUCAAAAGAGGCCUAUUAUGACCCGGACAUCCAUCAUUAGAUAGACUUUUUUUCACUUCAUUUCAGAAUAUAUUACUUCAUUCCAAUAAGGAUAAUGCACUUGACGUGGCUACGGCUAUAACGCGUGAUGUUGUGUCGGAGGUGUGUAAAAUAUCUGAAAUAAAUACUGUUGACAUUAAUUAAGGGUUUUCAAAUCUGGCAUAAGUUAUUGGCAUUGUAGAAUUCCCUGUCUUGCUGAUGCAGCACGACGCAAUAGAUAUGGCCAUUUGUUCUGCUGUGGAAGCAGUCAUUGAACUAGGUGAUGCUACUUUCGAAACACAAAUAGUUACGAGAGACGGUAAUGUGGGUACAUUACCUGUACGUGAAGAUGCAGUGAUGAAUCGUGAAGAAGAUGCAGUGAUGAAUCGUGAAGAGAGCAUGUAUGCCAUUCAACCUACUCCAGCAAGGAAACUCAGAUUGCCUACAGGGAGAAGAGAGGGAUCAUCAUCAACGCGUAUAAACCCAACACUAGAGAAGAGAGGGAUUGUUACCAAUUCCAACUUGCAACACCCUACAUGUGGACGAAAGCAAAAAAUUGUAUUAUCAUUAUUGUGUUGGUUUAACAAAAGUGCAUGAAUUGAAUAACUUAUGGUUUAAAUCUAGGUAUCAUGUUAUCUACUUCGACGAUGUUGUGGAAGUUACUAAAAGGAAAUUCAGCACGUUGAACUUGUUGACGUUUAAGUUGUCGAUACUUGGGCUUCGUAUCUGAAUUGCAUGGAGGUGAAUAAACUAACACAGAAGCCCAACAGAUUGUUUGUGACAAUAGCUCUAACAACAGUCUAUGUGAUUGAACGGAGACCUACUUGGGAACAAUCUGAAGCUGCGGCUACAUUAUGUGAGGAGAUAGAUAGUCAAUUCAACGACACGGGAACUUUUGACAUCACAAAAUAGGAUUUGAUUUUUUCCCAAUAUAUUCAAAUAAGCAUUACUAUCUAGUUUGCUUUUCAUUGAAGACUAGGGUUGCGGAUGUGCUAGACCAUGUCGUGCCCGAGAACGAUGGAUUUUCUCAGUUUUUAUCUCAAGUCAAAGAGAUUCGACGAACUGAAGUCAUAAUGAAGGAGCGCAAUACGCGCCUGCAGGACUUGCCCUGGAAGACAGAGACAGCCCAGACCACUAAUGACUCAGCAGUAUUCUUGAUGAGACACAUGGAGGCUUACAUGGGUAACCUUGCCAAUUUAAUGACUAUGGGUCUUCAAGGAGUCAGUGUGAGGUUGCUGCAGAUUUUGAGGGGGAGGUAUUGCAAGGCCAUGCUCCUUGCACCGUUUAAUGCUUGCAGAGAAAGGUUCACGUCCUACAUUAGUAAUUACAUCAACGUGACUCCUAACUUCAAAACAGAUUAUGCGAUGCAAGUAACUUGAGCAAGCCAUGACGAUAACAAGAAAAAAAAAAGAAUGAAGAGAGAAGCAGAAGAUGGAUCAGGCGCGUUGUGUCCUUUGGAGCUAGUUUGCUCAUGGCUAUUCAAACAGUUUAUAAUUAUUGAUCAAGACUUGGGCAUCAAAGUUGCUAUUGAAAAGGUUCUUGUGAACACACGUCAUAGAUGGUGCAUGUGGCACAUCAUGGCAAAAGUCGCUGAAAAGGUUCCUAAGUCACUUCUUGGUAAUUCUGAAUUUAAAAAGGAUUUGAAUUUAUGCUUUUGGUCGAGUUGAUUGAA